CCUUUAUGAUGACUUGCCAUGCUAAUACUGAAGAAUCAGUCCAGUCCAUGUGGGACAAUGGUGCUGGGUUCUAGUGAGUUCAAAAAGCAGUACUGAAAGUG
rfam:Lingula anatina scaffold164, whole genome shotgun sequence.